UCGUAACAAGGUUUCUGUAGGUGAACCUGCAGAAGGAUCAUUAGUGAAAGUUUCGGGCCUGCCAUACGGACGCAAACACGUCUCUGGCGCCCAUCACUAUAUCCAUACCAACCCCUGUGCACUGUGAUGACGAAUGUCAUCGAACAAAAAAAAACUCGUAUGGUUGAAUGUACGUGAAAUUGUAGGUAUAGCCUACGAACUAUACACAACUUUCGACAACGGAUCUCUUGGUUCUCCCAUCGAUGAAGAACGCAGCGAAACGCGAUAGGUAAUGUGAAUUGCAGAAUUCCGUGAAUCAUCGAAUCUUUGAACGCACCUUGCGCUCCAUGGUAUUCCGUGGAGCAUGCCUGUUUGAGUGCCGCGAAUUCUCCCUCCCCUUACGGUGGCCGAAAGGCCGAAGUAGGGCGGACGGGGUAGGAUGGGUGUUUGCUGCCUGGGGAUUGUACCAGGCUCGCCCGAAAUGCAUAAGCGCCAGGACCCUCGCUACCGCUCUCUAGGGAAGAGUGGCUAAGCGACCGCUGAGCAUGGCAUGAUACGUCAUUUGCUGUGUGUGGGCGGCCGGUUGGAGAGGUGUCUGCUUUACCAGCCCUAUUUUAAUUCUGGUCUCAAAUCAGGUAGGAUCACCCGCUGAACCUAAGCAUAUC
rnacentral:misc_RNA from 1 species